ACAGCAGUCGCCGCGGGAAUACAGAGGGUGCGAGCGUUAAUCGGAUUUACUGGGCGUAAAGCGUGCGUAGGCGGCUUUUUAAGUCGGAUGUGAAAUCCCCGAGCUUAACUUAGGAAUUGCAUUCGAUACUGGGAAGCUAGAGUAUGGGAGAGGAUGGUAGAAUUCCAGGUGUAGCGGUGAAAUGCGUAGAGAUCUGAAGGAAUACCGAUGGCGAAGGCAGCCAUCUGGCCUAAUACUGACGCUGAGGUACGAAAGCAUGGGGAGCAAACAGGAUUAGAUACCCGUGUAGUCCCUGUCUCUUAUAC
rnacentral:rRNA from 1 species